UCUUGUUGCAAGGGUGUGUUUUGUGAACGAAUGUACAUUUUAUUCACAGUGUUACCAGAAGGGGGCAGUAAUGCCCUUACUGAAAGUCUUUAUAUGUACAGCAGAAGAACUUCUGCAUCUCAGUGGCAGCAUGGAGAUACACUUUCACAUGAGCGGGAGACUCGAGCGUGGAAUGCACGUGUUAACGAUUCGUCCCAGUUUGCUCGAAUAGUUUGUUUGACAAAUGGCGUAUUUCUUCGUGUAAUUCAUGAUGAUAAUUUUUUGUAAGAAUAAAAAAUAAACUUGUUAAACAAUGUG